AGAUCCCAAAAAGCCGAUAAUAUCCUCUUGGAAGAAUGUUAAUUUCACAGUAAAGUACAAAAUUAACUGUGCUGCUCCAGAACCUGUUGCAGAAUGUGAAUUUGGAAUUUUUUUUCUAUUCGAAAACAACAAGAGGAAAAAAAAAGUUCAUAAUCAAGGAAAGCCCAAAGUAAACUUUAAUGGCCCUUUUAGUAGAACUGCUAAUUACACUUGUGCUUAUACUUUAAAAGUCAAAGAAUCACCCAAUCAUAUUAUUACAUCACCAUUAAGUGACCCAUUGAUUCUAGAGAAAGGUAAGUCCCAUAAAUUGCUACAUAUGCAAAUAGAGAAUACCUCUGUAAAACACAAAGCGGUAGGUAUACUAAUUGAUACAAGCUCUAACACCUGUGAGGUAUCCCCUACACCUACACCUUUAAAUCAUAUAUAACACACAAACAAUAGGUGGAGCAAGUAUGGCAUAUAGAUUAAAAAAAUGUUUGUGAUACUUCUCUCUCUUCUUGCUUUGUCACUGUAAAGAUAGAGAGGUACAGAAUAGUGCAGAUACAUAAUAUGUAAAUUCAAUAUAACUAAAACACACUAACAAAGAUAGAGCCAUAUACUGAACCUGGCUCUGGUGUGGAUUUCCUUAGGAUCUCUUUAGGGUGAUCCAAACCCUCUUUGUUGAUGCUCUGGAACAGUGGGAAUAUUCCUUCUCAAAGAUAGGCAGCUAAGAUGAAAUAACUUGCCUAAAAUUAAAUUUAUUGUUACAUACACUGGAUAAAACACUUCAUGAAUAGAGAUGUCGCGAACUGUCCGCUGAACUGUUCGCGAACUGUCCGCUGGCGAACAAUAGCGUGUUCGUGUUGGGCGAACAUAUCCGAUUUCCGGUCCGCCCCCUAUACGUCAUCAUUGAGUAAACUUUGACCCGGAACCUCACAGCCAGCAGACACAUUCCACCCAAUCAACAGCAGACCCUCCCUCCCAGGAAGUGUCUGCUGACUGUGAGGUUCCGGGUCAAAGUUUACUCAAUGAUGACGUAUAGGGGGCGGACCGGAAAUCGGAUAUGUUCGCCCAACGCAAGCACGCUAUUGUUCGCCGGCGGACAGUUCGCGAACAGUUCGGCGGACAGUUCGCGACAUCUCUAUUCAUGAAAUAUAAGUUUAAAAAGUCUACUAUUGUCCAAUUGUGUGCCAAAAUGCGUUUCGCCAAAAUGUGGCUUCCUCAGUUGGCAUAGAUGAUGCCAACAGAAUACUUCUGUCUAAAAUAAUCAUCAAGUGGUAAUGUUACUUUUUAGUUUUUCAUAAAGGUGGAUUCUUUAUGAAAAACACAUGUUCGCUGUUGGACUUUCUUUAUUUCUUUAACAAUCCAAAACUAUCAGAAGAUUUACGAGUUAAAGUCGGAAGCAUUUUGUCUCAUUUGGCAAAUAUGUGGCAAUGGAUGGUCCUUCAGGAGCAUCAACUUGCCAUUUCCCAUCAGCCAUUGCUCUUUGCAUCUAAUGGGAACAUGCAUCCUCUUGAGUUGUGCAAGAGAUACAUAUGACAUAUAACUGUGCAUAUGUGAGAAGAUCCAUGGAUCUUUUAUGGUCUUUCAUAGACCCAUGUUGUAUAUACUUGCCCUAGCCAUAGUGUAGAACAGGCUUCCCCAAACUCCAGCCCUCCAGAUGUUGCUGAACUACAACUCCCAUGAUUCUCAGCCUAUUUAUUUCAUUUGUAGAAUCAUGGGAGUUGUAGUUUAGCAACAUCUGGAGGGCCAGGGUUCGGGGAAGCCUGAAAAUUGUUUUUAGAUGAAGAGGAUAGAAGCUGUAGAGACAUGGAGGUCGACAAAAUUUGGAGGAGGGAUAAUAAAAGGUAAGUAUAUCUUGCUUUCUACUAUGUCACCUUAGAAGAAGGUGGUUGAAAAAAUUCAAAGUUCUCACACAGAACAGUGGCAGCUCUACAACGUUCCAAAUAAUGUAAGAAAUUAAAAAUGUCUGAAUAGUACAUAAAUUGCAUAUAAACAAAUCUGGUCUACUGUCAUAUCCUCGAUGAAUCUGCUACAUAAUUUCCAGAUUAAAAUUUUCAUCGGAAAUACAAUGCAGCUGCGAGCAUGAUCUCAUAUAGUGAAAAUAGAUAAGUUCUUACACAAAUACGACUUCUUUUCAUUUGUGAAAGCAAUUCUUAUUUGUUCUAUUUUUCACUUAACAAGAUGCUGCAUAUCAUUGCAUGAAUUGUAUCACCGAAAUUGCACAUAUAUAUAUUUGAUAUGAAAAAAAGUAAAAAAAAAAAGUAUUUUAAAAAUGACAAUACAUUCUCAUUAAACAUAUAGUAACUGUUACUUCCCAUGAUUUAGAUUUUUUUUGCUUAUGUAUCCCUAUAUUUAACACUUGAAAAAUAAAAUUAAAUAUAGAAAUCCACACCUUGUUUACCAUGCAACUAGGUGCCUCUCCCUCUCUCUUUCGUCAUGUGCUAAAUGUUUACUGUAGUUUUUGUUUAAAAAAAAUAAAAUAGCAUUGUAUGAGAAAAGGUUAACAAAAGGAGUUGUAGGUUAUUUUCAAUGUUUUAUUCAAAGUUGUAAAUUCCAGAGAAGACACAGCUCCUCUUUAAACUUUCCAUAAAAAGCUUAUUUCGUAUACCUUGCCGUAGUAAUUUGUCCUCUCUUAUACCUCUGAUCUUCUUUCUUUUGUAAGCGUAAAACUACUACUUCUUAUCUCAUGUAAAAUUAAUAGAAUACAAUUAUUCUAAGUUUCAGGUACAGCUCAG
rnacentral:lncRNA from 1 species